rnacentral:rRNA from 1 species
AUUGAACGCUGGCGGCAGGCCUAACACAUGCAAGUCGAACGGUAACAGGAAACAGCUUGCUGUUUCUCUGACGAGUAGCGGACGGGUGAGUAAUGUCUGGGAAACUGCCUGAUGGAGGGGAAUAACUACUGGAAACGGUAGCUAAUACCUCAUAACGUCUCAAGACCAAAGAGGGGUGCCCGCGUGCCUCUUUCCAUCGGGUGUGCCCAGAUGGGAUUAGCUUGGUGGUGGGGUAACUUGUCACCAAGGCGACGAUCGCUAGCUGGUCUGAGAGGAUGACCAGCCACACUGGAACUGAGCCACGGUCCAGACUCCUACGGGAGGCAGCAGUGGGGAAUAUUGCACAACGGGCGCAAGUCUGACGCAGCCAUGCCGCGUGUAUGAAGACGGCGCUCGGGUUGUAAAGUACUUUCAGCGGGGAGGAAGGGCGUAAAGUUAAUACCUUUGCUCAUUGACGUUACUCGCAGAAGAAGCACCGGCUAACUACGUG